AGAGUUUGAUCAUGGCUCAGAUUGAACGCUGGCGGCAUGCCUUACACAUGCAAGUCGAACGGCAGCGCGGGGCAACCUGGCGGCGAGUGGCGAACGGGUGAGUAAUAUAUCGGAACGUACCCUGGAGUGGGGGAUAACGUAGCGAAAGUUACGCUAAUACCGCAUACGAUCUAAGGAUGAAAGUGGGGGCUCGCAAGACCUCAUGCUCCUGGAGCGGCCGAUAUCUGAUUAGCUAGUUGGUAGGGUAAAAGCCUACCAAGGCAUCGAUCAGUAGCUGGUCUGAGAGGACGAUCAGCCACACUAGAACUGAGACACGGUCCAGACUCCUACGGGAGGCAGCAGUGGGGAAUUUUGGACAAUGGGCGCAAGCCUGAUCCAGCAAUGCCGCGUGAGUGAAGAAGGCCUUCGGGUUGUAAAGCUCUUUUGUCAGGGAAGAAACGGGGUUGGCUAAUAUCUGAUCCUAAUGACGGUACCUGAAGAAUAAGCACCGGCUAACUACGUGCCAGCAGCCGCGGUAAUACGUAGGGUGCAAGCGUUAAUCGGAAUUACUGGGCGUAAAGCGUGCGCAGGCGGUUUUGUAAGUUUGUCGUGAAAUCCCCGGGCUUAACCUGGGAAUUGCGAUGAAGACUGCAAGGCUAGAAUCUGGCAGAGGGGGGUAGAAUUCCACGUGUAGCAGUGAAAUGCGUAGAGAUGUGGAGGAACACCGAUGGCGAAGGCAGCCCCCUGGGUCAAGAUUGACGCUCAUGCACGAAAGCGUGGGGAGCAAACAGGAUUAGAUACCCUGGUAGUCC
rnacentral:rRNA from 1 species